rnacentral:lncRNA from 11 species
AGCUGUGCUCCGGACAUUCAUCGGAGCAUCUGUUUUAUUAACUGGGACUGUGAGAGACUGAAUCUUUUUUUAAUCUGCCUUAGAACUAAAGUGUAAAGUCAGUUCUUUGUAUUUUAAGCUUUAACUUGUUAACAUAUUUGUUGGCUUUUGAAGAUAAGGCUCCUUUUGAUGUUGGAUUUAGUGUGUCACAAAAUGGAUACAUUCAUGACUUGUGAUCUGAAUUCUGCAUUGAGUUGUGAACCAUGUGUCAACAGUCCAGAAAACUUUUGUUACAUUUAUGGGGAAUUUGUGAUCCAGAAACAUCAAAGAAAUGUAACAUCUUUUAUUAGAAAAGUGUACCAUGCCUACUUUGGAGUCAAACCGUGAAGCCAAACCAUAUACUUCACACAAAGUUUGUUUUAUGUGCAUAUUUAAGGAAGUGGUCUACAGGCAAAAAGCAUUCAGAUUUUGUGUGCCAAAGACAUGGAAGGA